rnacentral:rRNA from 1 species
AUACGGGGGGGGCUAGCGUUGUCCGGAAUUAUUGGGCGUAAAGGGCGCGUAGGCGGAAUGGUAAGUCAGUGGUGAAAAUCCAGGGCUCAACCCUGGACCUGCCUUUGAUACUGCCAUUCUUGAGUGCGAGAGAGGAAAGUGGAAUUCCCGGUGUAGCGGUGAAAUGCGUAGAUAUCGGGAAGAACACCGGUAGCGAAGGCGGCUUUCUGGCUCGCAACUGACGCUGAGGCGCGAAAGCGUGGGGAGCAAACAGGAUUAGAAACCCCAGUAGUCC